rnacentral:lncRNA from 1 species
AACUAAUCCAUUAACUAUUUGUUCAUUCUACAAACUACAUAACUCACUAAAUAACAUGCACAUGUGACAACUACAUAUUACAAUUUUUUAAACAAAUGAAGUUUUAGUUUUUGUUCAUUCUACAAACUACAUGCACAACUGACAACUACUGAUUACAAUUUUUAAACAAAUAAAGUUUUAGUUCAAUACAAACUGCUCAAAGCAUCUUUAUUGAGUAAUGGAAAUAGACUAUACAAAUACUUAUCACAUAAUUUAUUAAACUACAGAUACAACACACGAUUCAUUAAUUUCCUAGCAUUUCAUUUCACUUGUACAUCUUACAGCUACAUCGCAGUGAUUCGAAAGUAUACCAUUUUACAAUUCAAAUGGCCGAAAAAAUGGUGGUAUGCCAAGAAGGAUAUUCGGAGAGGUCGCCGGAAUUUGGCUGGAUUUUGGUCGCCAGAUUUUUGAGGUAGAACUCAAUAGCUAGGUCUUGAGGAUCUCUAUCCGUUGAUGUAUGUAUUGUGUGGUGGUAGUGGCCAGAACUUCAAUAACUUGGGAGAAAAAAUGACGGGAAAAUUUCUUAGAUCUAAGAUUCAAGGAGUUUGAGAGUUUUUUUGAAGGAUAUGGUUUGGAGAUUUGGAAAGAGGAGGUGAUGGAGAUUACAUGGUUAAAUUUUGGAGCGAAUUGGAGGUCGGCCACCGCCGGUGGGCGAUUUCCGGUGGCGCAAUGGGGAGGCACCGUCAGUCUUGGGAGAGAGAGAAGAGAGAGUGAUGAGAGGGAAAGAAGAUAGAGGAA